rnacentral:rRNA from 1 species
GUGCCAGCAGCCGCGGUAAUACGAAGGGUGCAAGCGUUACUCGGAAUUACUGGGCGUAAAGCGUGCGUAGGUGGUUUGUUAAGUCUGUCGUGAAAGCCCUGGGCUCAACCUGGGAACUGCGAUGGAAACUGGCUAACUAGAAUGUGGUAGAGGGUAGCGGAAUUCCUGGUGUAGCAGUGAAAUGCGUAGAUAUCAGGAGGAACAUCCAUGGCGAAGGCAGCUACCUGGGCCAACAUUGACACUGAGGCACGAAAGCGUGGGGAGCAAACAGGAUUAGAUACCCGGGUAGUCC